AGUCACUCUGCGACGGCGGCCGCACAAACUGUUUAGUUAUCGAGGAGUCGGAAGUGACGCGCAACGCCAUUCGCCACCAUUAUCGUUUAUAGUGAACAGCCCGGUCAUUGGUGCUUUGUCGGCCGGGCAUGCCGAGCACCGGAGGAGGAAGCGAGACGAAGCGAGGCCGCGCUGGCGCCGACAGCGCUUACUGGCGGCGGCGGCGGCGUUCACAACCGUCUCGCUGCGAGUUGCGACUACGGCCGCCAGCAGCACAAACGAGCAUCAGCCAAGUGCUCAACCAGCUCAACAAGCUACAGUGCAGGCACUGAGAGGCAGGAGCCAUUAGCCUCGUCCGCCAAGACAUCGUCUCUCUCGAACUAUCUUUCUCUCUCUAUCUCUCUCUUUCUCUUGCACGCACGCAGAGAGCGCGCUAUACGCCAUAUUCCGCAACAGCAGCAGCAGCAGCAGUGUGCUCUUCCAAAAGGAAGCUAGCAGCAGCAGCAGCAGCCUUCGCCUGGCUCAUUUACCAGACAGUUAUAUUAUGAGAGUGAAGAACGAAAUGGACGACGAUGAAAAGGGAAAAUUGUUCGUCGGUGGACUCUCUUGGGAAACCACCCAGGAGAACCUCCAGCGCUACUUCAGUCGCUAUGGGGAGGUCAUCGACUGCGUAGUCAUGAAGAACAGCGAGUCUGGUCGGAGUCGUGGAUUCGGCUUCGUUACCUUCAGUGAUCCCUCCAACGUCGGCCUCGUGCUCCAAAAUGGUCCUCACCAGCUUGAUGGUCGUACGAUCGAUCCAAAGCCCUGCAACCCACGUACGCUUCAGAAACCCAAACGAACUGGUGGCUUUCCCAAGGUUUUUCUUGGAGGUUUGCCCAGCAACGUCACAGAGACCGACUUGAGAUCAUUCUUCCAGCGCUUUGGAAAAGUUAUGGAGGUCGUCAUUAUGUACGACCAAGAAAAGAAAAAGUCCAGAGGCUUUGGCUUUCUCAGCUUCGAGGAUGAAGAUGCUGUGGAUCGCUGUGUUGCAGAGCACUUUGUCAACUUGAAUGGAAAACAGGUUGAGAUCAAACGCGCUGAGCCAAGAGACUCGCAAAAUAAGAUGAAUGACAGUCAUCCCGGACAAUGGGGUCCACCGCAGCAGGGACCACCAAUGGGAAUGGCUGGAAAUAUGGGACCCAUGGGGGGACCCAACGGGCAGAUGGGAGGCCCGAUGAUGGGUGGCCCAAUGGGCCCGCCAGGGAACAUGAUGCAACAGUAUCAAGGUUGGGGCACCAGUCCUCAAACUGGUGGCUACGCCGGCUACAGUGCUCAGUAUAACACUCAAGGCUGGGCCGCCCCACCGGGGCCACCGCAGCAGCAGCAGAUUCCACCUCCGCCUCCGCACCAGUGGGGCAGUAGUUAUAACGUUCAACCAGCUGCAGCCAAUCAGGCUUAUGGAAGCUACGGCGACAUGUAUUCGAGGCAGACAAGUGGAUCCGGAGCGCCCGGUUCGUCGAGCAGCUCCGCCAAAACACCUGACUACACUGGAUACACCGGAUACAGCAACUAUGCCGACACCAGCUAUCCACCUCAGCGCUCUUAUCAAGGCGGUGAAAGCAGCCAAGGUGGGUAUGCCGCCAGCGUUCCUAAGCCCGGCCAACAAGCCUUUGAUUUCAACAAAGAGUGGCCCACCUCAUGACCGUUUUAAUUUCAACCCUACCAUCCGUCGCCACGGAUCUAACAAGCGCCCAAGGCUCUUCCUCCUGCGGCCUUUCUCUGCUCUCGUAAGCUAGUAGCUCGUUCGGCUUCAUUGUCUCACAAAACACACAUACACCCAUAUACUAUCCUGUUACACGUGCGCGCGCACGCACGCGCACAUACACACACACACACACACACACACACACACACAAACGCGCGCGCGUAUUUAAACUACCAUCUUUCGAUAUGUACUGUCUGUCUCUUUCUCUCAUUCUGUCUACACCGGCCCACUCUUGUCAACGUCUCUCUUAACAGCGAUCAAUCAAAACAUUUCUUUAUUAUCAUACGUAAAUUAUAUUAUUUUAACAAAUUUUUCUUGCUGUAAUCCUAGCCAACUUAUGCCUCGAUCGCACACAUGUUAUCUACUAUACAAUAUCGAGCUACGAUUGCGACAAAUUAUCAAUCAAGUGUCAAAGAAAGUAUAAUUAUUAGAUCUAGAACGUAACAAUGUGGGUGAUAUAAAAUAAUUACCAAGUAAGAUAUCUAAGUUUUAAGAAGGUCAAUUGUUUGUACGAUGAAAAAAAAAUUAAUGUUAAAUGUUAUUACUCGCGAUCGACGCCAAAGUAUGCUAGGAUUUUCUAAAAAUUAACAAACAACAUCGGAUAGAUCGCUUCCAGAGGCUCGUCGCUAUCGAGAGAUUAGUGAAAGCCUUAUGAUCAUCACUUAAUCUUAAGAUAUUGGAAUCAAUAGAAACGUCAAAUUGCCAAAAUUAAAUGAAUGCGAAUUACAUUAUAGAUCGUCGAGUCGAUACGACGUUGACAAAACCAAGAGAAAUUUUAAGUAAUUAAAGUAAACAUGUUGAUAUAACGUCGAUAAAAUAAACGACAAUAGGCCACCUAUGGUGCAAGCGAGAGCUCUUCGGCGCUGGGACACCGAAGGCAGAAAAUUAAUCAUGCUCUUAUAUAUAUACAUACAUACGUACAUACAUACAUACAUACAUAUAUACACACAUACACACAUACAUAUAUACAUAUAUUUGUCGUGCACACUGUUUCUGCGACCUUCCAGUACAAACGUAUAUAUACAAAAUGUGAAGAAAACAAAGAACAACAAAAAACAAAAGGUGUUCUUUUUAACAAUCAAACUUUCAGCAAAUGUUAUGUGUUAUGGUCUACGAUCGAGGCGAAGGAGCGACAAGCGAUUGAUAAAGCAUUAAGAAAGAAUCGACGACGGUGGCGAUCACCACUGUGGCCCAUACGCUUUACCGAGAGAUAAACGAGCACUGCAAACUCUCCUUUUUUUCAAUCAUGUUAUAGUCUGUAACACAGUCAUUUUUUUAUAUAUUUAGUGCGCUCAAGAUUAAUUAUUACUUUAAAUUUAGUACGCAGUUUUGUUAAAGUAUUUCCUUCUCUUUUAAGUGGCAGUCUAUCAAACGCUCGUGCAUCUCUCAAAGGCGAUGUAAGUUACAAUAGAAAAAACGAAUUAAGAGUUUAAUACAAAGAAAUUAAUUUUAAAUGUCAAAAAGUGGGGAGGGAGUGAGCGCGAGUGUGACUCCGCGAGAAUGGAAUAUCAGGAUGAUUGCGUGGAUGUGCUGCGUGUGUGCAUGUACGGAAGAAAGAGAAAGAAAGACAGAAUGCGAGAAUGAAGAGGUCGACUAUCUAAAUUGAAGCGGCAGGCUCGCGAUAUAUCGGAACGACCAACCCAAUUUACAAUCAAUGUGAAUCUACUACCUUUUAGUAGUUAAGAGCUAAUAAACAGAAAGACAUAAUAAAUUAUUGAUGCGGUUUUGCGAGUCAAUAAGAUAGAUCGAAUUUAUCAGUAACGGUUAAAGUAACAAAAUUUGAUGACAGUAGCUUUACAUGUGUAGAUCUAAUUUGAAAAACUGCGUAUGCAUGUUUGUAUAUCUCACUUGACAUCAGGACACGGGCUGCUCCUUCGUGAUCCUUUUUAGAAAACUUUUUAACGUGUACUGUUAUUUUAUUGUAAAAUACUAUUGGAAAACAAGCUGCGUUUGAGUACUUGUUUCAUGUUUUUUUUUCUUUUUUUCUUUUUUUUUAUUAAUGCUCCUACAAAUUUUUUUAAGGAUUUUUAGAAUUUUUCUUAACUGUUUCAUUUGAGUUGUCGGUGAUUAAACGUAAUUGAAAGAUCCUUUUUAUGCACAACACAGAUAAGUCCGUAAUUUUUAUUGUAAAAUGUUGGAGUUGUAAACUGUAAAUCAUUUUUAAUUGUCACUUCAAGCUUAAGAGUUGAGCUGAUCUUUUUAAUUUAUAUAUAUAUAUAUACACGAAUAUACAUAAAUACCUAUUAAUAUACAUGUAUAUUUUUACCGUGGUUUUGUAAUUAAUAAUAAUGAUUAGGCAUGAUGAUGUAAAAAGCAGUUGUACACCAUUUUUUAUAAACGACUAUUUUAUUACGAUCAUUGUUACUAUAUAAUUCUUACGAUUACUACUAUUUUUAUUAACUACUAUUCCCAAGUCAACUAAAGUGCCCGUAGCCAUGAUAAUGCGGUUAUUACUUAUUAUGACAGUCUGUUGUUGUAAAUUAAUAUUGCUGUUACUGCUGUACAAGAUACUUCGCCAAUGAUUAUUUGUGCCUUACACAUUUUGAAUGCUGAUAAUUACGAACUUUUAGCCUUUGCGAAUGAAAAAAUUUAGAUCUACAGAAUAAAUAAUGAAAAUAUCAGCACAAACUUACUCUUACAUUUUCUGUACACAUACGUGCUUCGAUUUUGAUAGUUUAUUUUCGAUAAUUCGCAUGUAAUUUUAAAGUUUGAAAUGAGAUUUCGGAUACUUCAGUUAAUAAUUAGGAUUAAGUAAUGGCUCAACUAAUAAUAACGAUAAGAAAAAAUUGUAAAUGUUUGGAUAAAAUGCCGGAUAACAGCGGUACGAUAAGUGAUAUUUGGUUGAAAAAUCCACCAGUUGUUGCUUAAUUAAAGUUGUAAAUAUCUAACAAGAUCAAUUGAUCAGUUAAUUUAUAAAGUCAGUAAGUAAGUAAAUAAGUAAGUAAAUACGAAUACGUAGAGCUCGAGAUUAAAAGAAAACGUAAUAAAAGGAUUUUUUCCUGUAUUGUGAUGGUCGCUUAAGGAAAGUUAUCAGAUUUAUAAGUACUUUCAAUAAAUAGAUAAGGUGUGGCGCAUACCUUGGGCACAUAAUUGUGCUCGGGCGCUUUCAGUUUCAAAUCUAUACUUAAUGCUGAGCAAUGUUGAGGCACAAAUAAUACGAAUGGCACGAAUGAAGUUGAAUUAGUCGUGAGAAAAGGAAAGACAAGCAUACAACUUAAAAAAAGUAAAAUUAAUAUUAUAUAAAACUAAUAAUGAUUGACCUGGUAGAGUUACGUCAAGACAAGGAUUAAGACAAAACGUAAAUUAAGUUUAAAACAGAGGAACCUAUAUUUAUAUUUGGAAAAGCAAAUAUAAUUAGUAUUUUUGGAUGGCACUUGGAGUAAAGGUAAAUUAGUCAAAAAAGCUCGUAUGACGACUGUGAGUGGAUAGCGUUAGGGAGCGAAUAAUUAAGAAUAAUUAAGCUACUUUGGAUAAUUAAGGGAUUAAUAGUUGAUUAAUUACUGCUGCUUAGCCGCUUUCACGUCGGCUUACUCUCAGGGUUGUUAACUACUUUUCUAAUCGUCUGCUUUCGGUUUAAGUCCUUCGUAUAUAUCGUAUGUGUAGCUAAAAUAGUUGCUUUCUAUACACUCACGUUAUCAAAUAGAGGCUUAUUACGAUUGUUGAAUCAAUAAAUACGCGGUGAUUGGCUAACGACUACACAGCCAAACUCAACUAAUAGUGCAAAAUCUAAACUGGAGAGGUAACUUUGUGACGACUCUGCACAGCAACGACAACAAAAUAAACAAUCAAAUCUAAUAAAGUCGGACUGAUUACGUUUCAGGCGACACCAGUAUUUUAUUAUUUAUCGUCAGGGAGCCACUAUUCGCGUGCGCGACUAGACGCGGGCAGGACAGUUUGAUCGAGCGAGUACUUGAGAAUUAGCUAGGUCACAGGUGGGUGUGCUUGCGUGGUGCGUUUGGGAGCCGAGUGGAUGAGAGCAGGUGCGACUGUCGCGGUGUGUGAGCAGAGGCGCGAAUGCGGUUGAGAAGCCGUGCACGUGCUUGUGUUUGUCUGUCUGUCUGUCUGUCUGUCUGUCUGUCUGUCUGUGAGCGAGAGGGACGGCAAUAACCAUCACUUUCGUUUUCGCAAGCGGCAAAUCUGAUGCCAACUUUUCCGUAGAUUAAAGAUUAUCGCUAAGAGUGGCCCUUUUGUCAAAGACUGGUUUUAGCGACUAAUUAAAAGAAGCGAUUACAUUACAGCGUCAAAGUAUAUCACGUGUAAAAGAUCAAGUUCUUACUCUAUUCUACGUAGCUGCACGUCCACCACGACGAUUAAGAUUUUUACUUUGAAACCAUUCGAAGCUAUUUUCUAGCAAUGAUUAAUGAUUAAAGGAUAAAUAUUAAUGCUUAACGAUUAACAUUAACGUUUAAUAAUUAAUGAUAAUGCUGGCGUGCUGUCCUCACUUGUAAUGUAAUUUUAAUACAGUUGAAGACGUCUAACGAUUACUAAUUUUUUUUUCUGCUCCCUCUCCGAGUACAUACACUUUUAUAUAUACACAUAAUAUAUAUACAUAUAUAUAAAUAAAUAAAUAUAUAUAUAUAUAUGCGCGUUGCCCAUGGUGAUGAUGAUAAUGAUAUUUCUAUAAGUUUUUGUUAAUUUGUUUCUUCUAAAAUCUUAAGAAUUAAGCGCUUAUUCUAAGGCGUCACGUAUUGAAGUAAUAAUCAAGUCCGUAAUCUGUACAAACGAGUUUAUUAACGCACGAUCCAGUAUGUAUCUAAUUUCUAAGGGAGUAAAUUAUACGAAGAAUUCAAGUUAUUAAGUGUAGCAAAGUAAAAAACUAAAGUAAUAUUUAACGAAAAAAGUGAUGCAAAACGUAAUGUAAAGAUAAACAACGCCGCAUUCGACUUCCCGUAGCUUUGAAAACUAGAUAGCUUCGAGGCAACGGAAAAGUCAGUGGGAGAGAAUUACGGGAAGUCGAGCUUUGGUCGUCGCUUCUUCGAACAAGCGCUCUUUCGCUCUCAUUUGAUAGAUUAUCAGUCGUUCAAUGUGCGUGUCGAAUCCGAGAAGGUUGCAGAACUUUGUACGCACUUUUCGUAUAUAUAUACAUUUACACAUACAUCUAUAUAUAUAUAUAUAUAUAUAUAUAUAAUGUAGAUGAACACAGAUAUAUUUACGUAUGCCUAUAUUAUAUACUACGUUAUAUGACCCGAUCGGACAUUUAUCGACCUCACACCUUCCGCCUUCCUUUAUUAAAUGACCAUUGUCACAUUGUCCGCUUAAUUUUAGGACUCUUUAAUUAAAUUUUGGGUUGCCUCGCUUCUCAUUUACGAUUAUUAUUAUGACUAUUAUUAAUGUAGUUGGUAAACCGAAAAACAAGUUGAAUGUUAUUUUUAUUAAUAUAAUUGCUAUACACAUUACAUUAUACGACCAACCGUGCGUAUUCUUAAUAAUGACAAACAAGUGGUUAUGAUGAUAAUUUUAAUAUACAGCGCUUGAAACAUUUUACGAUAUACAAUGUCACUACAAUAAGCUUUCAGAGAAAAUGCGUUUAAUUUUAAGAGACCAUUUGAUUUUGAGAAUAAAAUUGGCUUUUCUUUCUGACAAACAUACUGUAAUCUACAUUGCCAGUAAAUUGCAUUUUUCAUCGUCAGUUUCAACUUUCUCUUAUUCUGGCUCUCAUUUUCGGACUUGAUUUCACAGCUUACUGCCACUGGCCACAUUUUCACGAAAAAUUCCUUUAUGCAUAAGCGAACUGCUCGCACAAGUAAGUUCGCUUAUCGAUUUGUUCUCGUGAUAUCAGCUUAGGAAAAAACAGGCAAACAAACAUAAGAGAAAAAAGACAAGAAAAGAGGCUAUUUAUCGUCGGGUUUAUGGAACUAUAUAUGAAUGUAUAAUUUUUCCAACUCGAUGCUAUUCGCUCGUUUUAAGAUCCAUGUAAAAUCAAUGGAGUAUCUCGUUAUUUAAGGAAAACACGUUAGGAAACGACCGACUGCAUUAAAUUAAAGAUAAAUAGUUAAGGAGAUAGUGAGUUCUUAUUGUAAAAAGUAACCAAGUAAAAAGUAAAUUGACGAGUAAUCGAGCUGUUGCGCGAGCGUCUAAAGUACUGUAAAGAUAUAGCUUAAAGAGUACGUCUACGAGUACGGUUAAAUAGAAUCCCUGAUAAAGUUCAAAAUACUUGCUGUACCUCAAAGACUCAGCGCUUACACACGCCAUUACGUUCGACUUUUUCUUCUCGGACCUCUUUAUCUUUUUACCUCUCGAUUAGCCUCUGUCCAAAGAAGUCUCCCACCCAAAGGCCAUCGAUGCCGUCUCUCCGUCACUCCCAACCCGAACCCGAACCCAACCCAACCCAAUCCAACCCAAUCUUUCCUCGGAAAUAUCAAAUAGAUCACUGCGAUAAUUGUCAUGUACACGGCCAUGAGCAAAUGACUGGUUAAGCGCAUAAUCAUUUCGCUUAGUAGUUAAUCAACCGUGAAUAGCAUUGCGGCAAACGAGAAUCAAGUUAACAACCAAUAGGUUAUAACAUAACGCUACAUUGGCAGAGAGCAGAGAGCAGAAAGACCAAAGUCCGAGUGUACGAUCGAUUGAUCUUGAGAUAUCUCGAACGUUAGCUAUAAUUACACCUCAAGCAGUUAUGAGAUUUUACUUUUUAUUCGAAACUAGAAACAAUUAAGUGAAGCAAGUGUGAUUUUAUUAAUCGAUAAAACAUAGUAAAAUGUCAAUGUGGUCGAGGGUUUUUGAUAAACAAACAAAUAUUUAUAAACCAGUUAGGAAGUAACAUGUAAACGAUCAUAAAACACAGCAGCAUCAAUGAGCGAAAGCUAGUUGACAAACAAUUUAUAAUGGCUAAUUUAAAGUAUGGCGAGGACGACGACAACAAGGACGAUGACGACGACGACACAAGUGAUACUGAGAUACGUUUAACAUACUUGUAAUAAAUAAAAAAUCAUAAAAGAUUAUGAGAGCGCCGUAUAUUACAAUAUUUCGAGAAAUAUAGCGUGUAAUAGGACAUAACGAACUGAGCCAGUCCACGAGGUAUUCUAUCGUGGUCGAAUGAUGUACGGGACAUAAUGACUUGCCCGACAAACGAAGCUUUACUAUUAAUUUACUGAUACUUAAGGUAAUAUUGUUUACUAAAAUAAUAAUAAUAAAAACUUUAGUGUUAACAUAUACCACUAUCUACGAGAUAACUCUACGUUAUCACUGCUACGAUUAUUAUAUACAUACCUAUAGCUAUACAUUAAUCAUAAGUUGAUACAAUUAAAAGUAACUAUAGUGAUUGCGCUAUAACGAUACACAAAUAUAGAGAAAUAUCGAGAUACAAAUUGGGCUAUUCAUAAAUAUAAACAUAUAUAUAUCUAUAUAUAUAUGUAUAUAUAUAUAUAUAACUUAUACAAAUACACUAUGGUAUAGAUGAUUGUGAGGACGACAAUUAA